GGCACUACAUGUGACUAAAGGAAGUUUGGAGCUUAUUCUUGGGGACUAUUCUAAGCCUGAGGAACCAACAACCCAAGGUACCAGGCUCUUGGAGCCUUACAUUCUUCACAUUUAGAAGAGUCUCACUCUGGUAACCCAGGCUGAGUGCAGAGGUACAAUCAUGGAUCAUUGCAGCCUUAACCUUCUAGGUUAAAUCAAUCCUCCCACCUCAGCAUCCCAAGUAGCUGGGACUACAGGUGUGUGCCACGACAUCUGGGCUGGAGUGCAGAGGUGCGAUCUUGGCUCAUUGUAACCUCCGCCUUCUGGGUUCAAGCGAUUCUUCUGCCUCAGCCUCCCAAGAAGCUAGGACUACAGCCAUGUAGGAUGUGCCUCCUUCUUCUUUGCUUUUUGCCAUGAAUGUAAGUUUCCUGAGGACUCCACAACCAUGCUGCCUGUACAGCCUGCAGAACUGCUCAUAGGUAGAAGGAACUUUCGUUGUUUCAGAUGAGACUUUGGACUCUGGACUUUUGAGUUAAUUCUGAAAUGACCAUGUAGGACAUGUCUUCUUCCUAUUCUUCUUCCACCAUGGUUGUAUGUUUCUUGAGGCCUCCACAGCCAUGCUUCCUGUACAGCCUGUGGAACUUCACUCCUGUAGCAGAUGCCAGGAGAAAAGAAAUUACAAAGACGACUGGUUUUUGCCUUGAUAGAGCUUACAGUCUAGAAGAGAAGAUAGAUAUUAAACAAAGUCUUCACUUACAAUGAUGGGAAGACUACAAAAGAUGAGGAAAAUAAAGCCCAGAGUGUUCCAGUGAUGGGCCUCGAUUCACUCAGCUUCAAGUCGGCCAGACUCCAAUGCGCAGGCUCAAUCAGUCAGACUUGGUAUUUGUCUUUCUGGAUCAUGCUGGGGUAUGAUUCUCAUUGCGGACAGAAUAACAACAAGAAGACCUUGAGAAUAAGCAUCAAUUUGUGAGCCCCAAGGGCGAAGAAGCUUUCCUGAAGCAACAACAGGAACAGGAAGCAAAAAGGAUUUGAAAUGAAAUAGCAAGGGUCUCACACUGUAGCUCAGGCUGGAGUGCAGUGGAGCGAUCUCAACUUACUGCCAGCUCCGCCUCCCGGGUUCAAGAGAGUCUUCUGCCUCAGCCUCAGUAGUAGCUGGGAUUACAGAUAGAGUACCAAAGAUAUAAUUUGAAGAGAGGAAACACAGUAACACUGCAUUUUUAUAUAAAAUAUGAUACCUUUUGAUUGGAAAAAUAACCAGCCAAAAAUAAAAAGAAAACAAUUCAUGUAUCUCAAAAA
rnacentral:sRNA from 1 species